UCUCUAAAUAAUAAACUUAAUUAAACUGGGUGCAUCCUAGCGGAAACUUCUAAUUUAGUUUCAGCCUCUUAGGACAGCAAUGUAGGCAUUAUGUUUAUCAGGUGAGUAUGGAGUGUACUCUUAGAUAUCAGAUGAGACUCUAUAUCUUGUAAAGAUGGGUAAGAGUUAUAAGAAAUAUGUUUUCAGAUAAUGCUUGUGGGUGCUACUCCUGACUGUCCAACAACAUGAUCCUGCUUAGUAAUUUUAAGAAAAAUUAAAAAUUUAAGACUGUGAGCAAAACCCGUGUGAAGACUUUAUUCCACCUGUGAAAUGUGUGAUGUGCUCGGUGAUCCAGAGCAGUUCUCCCAAAGUCAUUAGAAUUUUAGUACCAUAAAACAAAAGUGCAGCUUUUUCAAUAGCGUUGGGGCUUUUUCUGCCCCCAAUCCAUAGCAAAGUAUUUUUUGCCAUGGAUAGAAAGAAGGAAAAUGAAGUUCUCUUUUCACAUUCAAUAGAAAUAAUUUGUUCUAUGCACAGGGAAAAUAAAAUAGAGGGCCAAAUUAGAAAAAGCAACAAAAUCUGAAUGAAUCAGCAUAAACUCUCUGUUCCUAACCCAAUGCCUGAGAUUUGCAUUCACCAUGGGGACGUUUUACUGGUUCCCAGUCUCAUGGUUUCAGUUUUUAUGCUGUAUUACGCUUCAUGUUCCAAUCCUUUAACGGCCACUACUCUCUUGAGGGCUGUAUGAGCUUUCCCCAUCCCAAAGAAGACAGCUUGUUUGUAUCAAAAGCCAUUAAAAUACUGGGAAUGUGUACAGCACAGUUAGGAGGCCCCACUCAAUUUUGAGAAUAAGCCAGAUCUAUAUAAAAACAUGCAAAAUGCUCUAUGCAUCAGUAUUAAACUCCUAAUUUUGAUUGAAGUUUUGGGUUUUUUUUUAACAUUUGCAUAUAACCUGGAAGACUAGGGUUCCUGCUGAAAGAAAGAGCUAAUGGCUAAGCCUUAUCCUGACUCUAGGGCUUUCAGUAAUCCUCCCACAUGAAGUAAUAGAAAACUAUAUUUGUUACAGAAUU
rnacentral:lncRNA from 1 species